AGUGAUCUUCCUGCCUCAACUUCCCAAAGUGGUAGGAUUACAGGUGCAAGUGACCAUGCCUGGCCCCCAAUCUUUUAAGACCAUAUUAUCAUGGCCCGUUAGAUUUUUUCUCAGGCAAAACAUGCUAGAGCUAUUCUUUUUUCACACAUGUGAUUUUCAGACCACCUCUCCCCAAUCCUAGCUGUCCUCUAGCUUAAAUAUAUUUUUUUAAAAUCCUCUUCUUAUGAGCAUGAAACUCUCAUGCCCUCCUUUAUUGUUACUGAAAAUUUAAAAACUGUGACAAAAACGUGCUGCUCUGCUUUCAAACCAGAUUGUCAAAUAAGUAUUUGCUUAUAUUUGAUAACACAGCUGGCAUUUAUCAUGCCAAGAGCAUGCUAAGCAUUUUAGAGAAAAUGCAUCACAAUAACCCUCUGUGGGAGGUGAGAAAACAGGCACGGAGCAGUUUAAGAAUUUGACCGAGGGGUGUACAGCUAGGAUGGGGCAGACAGGAGUCGCAGCACUCCAUGGUAGUUAGACGAGCACAGAGGACAGCAAGGGGGCGUCAUGUGCAACUAAAAUGAAUUAUCAGGUAUGUCUUGAGUUUAUCUCCAUGUGAACUACUCCCCCAAUAUUUUCUUUUUGCAGUUUGCAAAUCUAAAUAGAUAAAAAUGUAUCUGAUGUUGGCCUAUUGCAACCCAUCUUGUCUGUUAGCUAUUACUCCCAGCUCUUGUCCCCAGAUAAGACUCCACUCAGUGCUUAACCCAUUUAUCAUUUCCCAGACAUUCUCCAGUGAUCUGUGUAACAUGUGAAGAUGAGGACUUCCUUGACCCUCUAAGUUAGGCUGCCAGCUCAACCUGUCAGCUUCUAACUUAACUGUUUCUUUUUAUGCUGCUUGCCAAGUGAAUUGAUACUUGUAUUCAAUAAAGAGCUCAAUUUUUAAAAUAAUGGCGGCACUAGACUUGGUACACCAGGACCGUUCUCCCCACGUAACACAAAGGUUUAACCCCCCUAACAAUAGAUGUCUCAUCACCCCAAGAUUAAUGAUUCUCGAGGAAAUGUAGGGGUGGAGAGAUGGAGCAGGUUAAAACAUGAAAUUUGACAAUGGUCCUCUCGUGACAAUGGUGUCAACAAACUUUGAGAAACACUGCCCUAGUUACAUGGCAUUAUCUAAGACUAUAGCACUGUCAUCUGGCUGACAGCAGCUGACGGAACACCUAUGAGGUGUUGCAUGUCAGUGCCCUUAAGGUCCUAUCCCAGCAUCUUAGUUACCUCCCUGCACGGGCAAGAACAGGGACUCCAGGGUCCCGGGUGGAGUGCUCACUUCUGAUUCAGUGCUCACUUCUGAUUCAGUGCCCAGGGAAAGCUAUCCUGUAGAGGCGGGAGUUGAGGUAAACUUUGAAAGAUGGAAAAGAUUUGGACAGCAAGGGAGGUGGCAAUGAGUAAAACAUGAGUUAUUUACCAAGCAGGACACUAAGCAAGCCACCCUGGCCACCACAGACGUCUGCUGAGGAGGCACCGUGAGAUACCAGUUGGGACACCCAACUGGAAUGCAGGGCAUGGGGCCUCGAUCCUUGCAUGGCCCCCAGACAGGCAGGUCACCUUAUAAAGAAUGGUCAUCACUACCUUAUUCCUAAUUGCCUUCCAUCUCUUGGCUCAUCCACAUUAGACCUGAAUGUAUAAAUAUGUCAUUUUAAGGACCCCGGAACCUAGGACUGGGCACAUGAUAUGAACACAACAAAAAAACUGCACUGCAGGAAAAGCAGUUCAGUCAGACCAAUUAUUUGGCAUCAUGCAGACUUAACUGACCAGCAUUUGUCAAUUCACCCAAACCAUAUUAACAGCCUGUUUCAGGUAAAGUUUUCUUCCUUUAAACGUUCUGUAGCCUUUAAAACCUAGCUCGCUGGCUUCCAAACCUCUCUUGAAAGAUUUAUUGUGCAAUAAUUGUACUUUUAAAAAAAAGUAUACACAAAUAAGCCAGGUGGCAUGUAAUGUUUCAAAAGUGCCAUGAAGAAAGGCAUGAACAGCAUCAAGCGGGUCAGUCAGGUGCCCAGGGAACAAGCAGGGUGGCCGCAAUGCAGGCAGGUAAAUUAAACCUGCUCUCCACACACUGCUGUGGUGAGGAAGGUGUGUUUGACUCGCAACCGAAGAGAAAAUCAAUAGGAGGGGAUUGGCAUUUGAAUUCAGAACAAAGCCCACUUACUGAGAGGUGAGCCCCAGCCCCUCCAAAUGCCCGUUUCAUGAGUUAGGAUCUCCUAAGUGGUAAAAACAAACAAACAAACAAACAUGGUGGACCAAAUGAAAAGUAAAAGUAAUACAAAGCUGGGGUAGUGAACCCAUAAAAGCAUUAAAAGAUAAGAGUGCCAGUCUUUGAGAUUUUGAUAGGUACCGGGCCUUCUGAGUAGGCAAGUUUUAUUCUCUUUAACAUAACUAGAAAAGCAAUGAUGGUUUUGCACCCACUAUUUAAAUGCCUGCAAAGGGCCAAAUUCUAUAAACAACUUAUAACAUGUAGAAUGUGGUCUAUCUCAGCAGCCUCCGGCUACCCCCUUGCCCCACCCAUGGCAUCCAGAAAACAGAGCUGUUGCUGGAAGGGCUUUAUGGAACAACUAUCAGAGCCAUCCAGGAAAAGAAAGCUGCACUCCUCAAACCACCUAAUUUCUUGUCUUAGCAACAAUUAGAAACUUCAAGAGUAAAAUUAAGAAGCGUGCCUUGUCUUUAAAAAUAAUUCUUCAACCUGGAAAAAAAAAAAUCCACAACACAGCUCUUCUCAACUGGGAACUUUGAGAGUGAAGUGCUACCAUGUAACUGUCUUAUAACACAAUUUUCCUCAAAUGGUAAUGUUGAUAUUUCCUGUAUGCAGAGGGACUUGAGUAACAGGUUUUUUUCUCCACCUAUACUGAUAAUGCUGAUUAUAAAAAAUGGAAAUCCAGUAAACCAAAUGGAAGACAAACUCACAUGCUCAUAAACUAGUUCAUGAUUCUAUCCCUGGUGAUCCAUUAAAACAGCAUUAUACCUUACAAUAUAAAACAGCUUAAGUCCAAACACCUUGUUAUAAGGAUGCUGUCUAAUGGAAGAAUGAUUUGCUAAGGGUCAUAUGCCUUCUGGCCCUCACAUCCCCCAGCAUUUGGCAACUGCUCAUCCUGAAUGCCAGCAGUUGUCUGCUCUGGGGUUUCUCAACUGCAUGGUCAUUGAUUCUUCCUCCUCCCUCACACACUGCUGUCCUGCCUGCAUGCCCCCUUAUCAUUAGGUGCUGUCGGCCGCCACCGCUGGCUUCCUGCUCUGCUUACACAAUGAGUAGGCAGCAGCCGCUAGUCACCACUCUCAAAUGUCACCAUUAGGCCAGUCGAAUGGCAUCCGACGUGAUGCCUUCAAUUACGGGCAUCAUUGAUGGGCAGCGAGACGCAAGCCUUCUCAAGUUUUUAAUGAUUUAUCUUGCUAGGUGCUUAUUAAGGAUUGUAACAUCUUGCAGUGAAAGUGGCUUUCUGGAAACCUAUAAUUCUUACUGUUUUGCCUUUCAGGACCGUCUCUUCCACUUCCUUCAGCAUUUUUUUAAAAAAUGAACUAAAGUAUUCGUUUAAAUUGGGAAAGAGGAGGGGUAUUGAGGCCUGCCUUCUGCUAGUCCUUCUGCGGAACACAGUGGCUGGGCAAGCACCUUCCCUGCUCGUCCUCUGACCUCAUUCAUUUCCCAAGGCCACAGAUAAGCCAUCAGGCUGCCGUUCGCAAACGGACAUCACAACAGCCACUGAUGUUGGCCGGCUUGAAAAGGGGAGCCCAUUCAUCUGUUUUGGGGUCUGUAUAGCAAAAGGAAACUCUCACAUCACAGAGGAGGAAAAAGAGAGAAAAUUCAGGUGGACUUCGAAGAAAAAAGCAGAGAGGGGCAAAAAGAAUAUCAAUGAUCCCAAUAAUUGUCAUGAGCCAUGGAAAUCCAAUUGCCUUUGCAAUAGCACCACCAGCAGAAGGACCUUUCAGAAAACAGAGAAUUAGAUAAAGUUCUUUCCAAAUGUCUUGUAGACUGAAAGAUGCAAAGAUUUAAAUAA